GGAUAGAUCAUUGCAAUUGUUGGUCUUCCACGAGGAAUGCCUAGUAAGCGCGAGUCAUCAUCUCGUGUUGACUACGUCCCUGCCGUUUGUAGACACCGCCCGUCGCUCCGACCAAUUGAAUGGUUCGGUGAAGUGUUCGAUCGCGGCGACGGGGGCGGUUUUCCGCCCCCGAUGUCGCGAGAAGUCCAUUGAACCUUAUCAUUUAGAGGAAGGAGAAGUCGUAACAAGGUUUCCGUAGGUGAACCUGCGGAAGGAUCAUUG
rnacentral:ncRNA from 1 species